CUCUGUGCUCGGAGGGGCCUCACACUUCGUGUAAUGCUCUGCUGUCAUCAUGUUGACAUUCUAAGUCAUUUCUGGACAAAGGACUCAUAAAUGAUGUGGCUUGUUCUGCUCUGGCCACCGUCUUCAUCUCAACCUUCUUCGUUCAUGUUCCUGGGGACAAUGAAUCACCCUUGGCAUCGGGAAAGCAAGGCAUUACAAGCUUUUGGAUAGAUCACAGGAACAAGCGUGAGGCUAUGAGUUACCUUUGGGGGGGUUCAUGCAGAUUUGAAGAGCAAAGGGAAGACCCUGAACACCUGAACUGAUCUCGAUUUGAAAAACUCAAACUAAGAAGUAAGAACAAGAUGCCAGUGUUGGGCAUCAUUUCUCCAACGCUUCAUUAGCCCACAAGGAAAAUGUAGUAUGGAAAAGGUCUGAAAACCUAGGUGAAGUUGCCAUAUCACCAGGGGGGACAUGUGUGAGCCUCAGCAAGGAUGCAAUACAGUGAGGAAAAUAGGUUUUUCCUCACUCCAGCACCUCGUUGUGAUGAGGCAGUGUGAGCCUUUACCACAGCUCAUCAUCUCUACAACAGCUCUGCAAGGCAGACAGCGCUGUCCGGCUCCAGCUGGCUGCCCCCACAGAAUUGUCACAUGCCAUAGGUCUCUUGGAUCUGCAUCAACAACCGGCUUGUGUCUGAGACACGCUCUGCCAUCCGCUCCUUUGACAACUCCAAGAGUGAUGAAAACCCUCCAAGCUUAAGAAUUGAGCGUUUUUAAUUCAUUUGUCACAAGAUAAAUGUGUUGCCUGUGUGCUCUGAACCAAAUCCUGAUGUGUUUCUUGGGAUGAAGAAAACAUACAUUUAAAAAAUCUGAUUGACAAUAACAACUUCUUAAUAAGCAGAGGGGGAAAAAAGGUGAAAAUGGAAGAUUAACCAUUUCUCACCACCCCCAGAAGGCAAUCUGUGUGUGCUAGAGGGCUUUAGUUGACUUCUCUUAGAAGCUCCUGAGGGAGAAGAAGGCAGCCCUUGACAUCCGGAGCUGGCCUGGCAUUUCUGGCUGGACCUUGGUGUUCUUCUGUUGAACAAUUUCCUGCAUCAACAUGAGGCAAGGACACUCUGUGACCAUUAUGGAUCAAAAAAGAAGACUAUUUCAUAAUCACUUCUGAACACUGAUAAAAUAUGAACAAUGUCCAAGCCACAGAAUACCAAGCAUCCCUCCAUCCUGGCUAGUAGGACUGAUGGUCUCAGCCUUGCCCAGUUUGCUCUCCCUCCAGGGCCAACCAUCUUUCCACCUAAAAUAGCAAUGUGCAGCCAAUUUCUUCGUGAGGCCUGACCUGCCAAGUGAUAACUCCCCACAAGCAUCCAGUCCUGGAACUAGCAGUGACCUUGCAGAGGAUGGACAUCUUACUGUGACACCAUGAAGAACCAGCUUCAGAAUCUUAGGAGGACACUACAUAUCCCCGCAUUAAGCCCGAUUAGAAGCACACAGACACCUGUUCCUUCCUGGCUCCUUGGGAGAUAGUUUCUACCCUUGGUGUACUGGCAUUUUAGGAACCACUGAAACUCACCUUUAACACUGUUUAUUUUUAGUGUCCUGCAUUUAUAUUUAGAAGGGAAGAUCUGUCAGGCUUCCAGGAUCAUCAUUCCUGCAAUUUUUGCUGGAGCACGGGGACACCACGAGGAGGGAAAUUUAGUCAUGCAUGUAAUGCCCCCAUUUAUUUCCUGGAACUAGUGACCCAGCACAGGCACAUGUACCAAACCUACAAGGAGAGAGUGGGCUGACCUUCAGUUGCUUAGACCUGGCCAUUCACCAACACUUCCAAGUUAGGACAGGCCUGCUAAUGGACUUGGAAGUUUUCUAAGAGAAAGAACAGGUAGAAAUUUGUGAGGAUCAAGAGAGGCUGCUUGCUAGCCUGGCAAGGUGGCACACAUCUGUGAUCCCAGAUACACAGGAAGCUGAGGCAGGAGGAUUGCAAGUUCAAGGCCAGCCUGGGAAACUUAGCAAGACAGUCUUUAAAUAAAUAAAUAAAUAAAUAAAUAGGUCAGGGUAUGCAGCUCAAUGGUAGAGUGUCCCUGGGCCCAAUCCCUAGCACUGCACACAAAAAAUAAAAAUCAGAAAAAACUCAAAAGGAGAGAGAGCAAUGCUUGCAAAAAAGCAGGUAAAAUUACUUCCAUCCUGCAAUCUUGCCCCUCUUUUCCUUUUAGUUCCUACAAAAUGUGUUCCUGUGCAUUUAAAUUUUUAAAAAACAAGUGCUAUAUAUAUUAAUAUAAAAUUUUGAAGGAAGAAUUGAUACAACAUAUCAUAAGGACCUAUAUUUCUAAUGUUUGAAACGCUCUUAAGCAUCAAGUAAUAAAGGGCCAAAAAACCCUGUAGGAAAAAAAUGAUUAAGAUAAUUUUUAAAGAGAUGUAAAUAUGCCUUUAAACAUAUUAAAAGAUGCUCAAAUUCAUAAUUAAGGAAAUGAAACUUAAAAUUCCAUCUUUAAAAAAUGCUAUACCAUUUCUCAUCUAUAAAAUUUGUAAAAUUUCAAAAAGCAUGACAGAUGACAGCAGUGUCUUGCUGAGACUGUAGGAAACAGGCAUUUUCAUACACUGUGGUGGCAAAUUGGUAGACCCUGGAUGGAGGCAAGAUCAAAGUUCCCUGUGUACUUAUUUUCAAUCCAGAAAUCCCCCAAAUUUAGGAAUAUACCCUGAAGAUAUUCCCAAGAGCAGAAAAAUACCUUUUCAUAAGUUUAUUUAUCCCAGUAUUAUUUUCAAAUACAAAGUAUGGAAAACAAUCUAAAUGCUCAUGCAUAGGAGAUUAUCGGAAUACACUAAGAAAGUCACAUACUGGAGUGCUAUUCAGUUAUAUAAAUAAAUGUGGGAGAUCUCAAUGAUCUGAUAUGGAGAUAGUUCCAGAAUACAUUGUUAAAUGGAAAAAAGUGCAAAUGAGUACCCAGUAUGUUACCUUUCAUGUAGGAAAGGAGGAGCAAAAGUAUAUACAUACAUUUGCUCAGUUUCACACAAAUUAAUACAGGGAGAAUAAGCCUGAAACUGAGAUUGGCUCCCUAGAAGGAAGUCAGGAACAAAAUAGAUAAAAAGAAGGAAUGGAAUACAGGACAAGGGGUAUGCCUUUCUAUAAGGGUCUGACUUUCAGAGUUAUAAUGAUGUUGCACAUACUAAAAAGAAAAGGAAAUCAAUAAUUAAAUAAAAAUCAUUCUGGAGAUCCAUAAAAUAAAAUAUAAAUAACAACAAAUGAACCCAACUGGAUUACAAAUGGAUAGCAGAACCAUAGUGCAGAAGGUAGGAAGGAGAGAAGUAGGUAAUUCUAGAAACAGUAUCUUGGCUACAUUUAGUAAGACUAAAGUAAAAGUAUAGCUGAAUACAAAUGGUAUAUACUCUAGUCUGUAAUUUUACUUUUUAUGGAGAUAUUGAUUAGCAAUUCUGAAGCUAUUUUGGGUAUUCUAGGAUUGAGCAAAUAAGUAAUAUGGAUGAUGAAAGCCAAUUUUCUCAUUCUAAUAGAAAGGAAUUGUAGAUAAGAAUAGCUGAAAAGAAAACAGAAUUGGUGUUGUGGGUUUAGAUUAGAGAUGCUGAUAUAAAUUUAUGAUCAAUAUGAACUGUGUAUGUAUAUCUCCAUACACAUAUGUCUAUAUUCUUAGCUCUGUCUGCUCUAAGGGACUUAAAGCAAUCACGUUCCAGUACCAAAGAACAUAUUUACUGAUUAAAUAUUGGUUUAUAAAUAAUGUUUGCUUAUGACAAGAACCAAGGAUCUUUGGAGAAAUGGCAGAUUCCAGGUAUGGGCAGGAAGAAUAUAAGAACCAGGAAUAUCUUGUGGUGCCAUGAAGUGAGGAAGUACUCAAAAUAUGAUUGGGACAUGUGAAAAGGACAUACAGGUCAAAUUCAAGGGUCUCCCAAUGGUCAACCGUGUGAUAAUCUGACUAACAAAAUAUCUGUCAACAAUAAUAGAUUAUAACAAACAGAAUAAAAUAAAUAUCCAUGAGUCCCUAGUGAUACCAUUAAAUAAAUAAGUUUUUAAAAUGGAGGAGAGACAGCUUUCGCUCGUAGUAGAAUUUAAUCCACAAGGGUAGAGGAUGAUGAAACUAGAAAUUACUAACUGGGAAGCAAUUAGUAAUUAAUAUUAUAGGCAAGAAUCAUCAAUAGGAGUUAAAAUUAAAUUAAAUGUUAUAAAUUAUUAAAUGUUAGAGGCAAGAAUCAUCACUAGGGGUUAAAAUUACUACCAUAAAUAUGCUGAGAAAAAAAUAUUUGCCUGGUUUCUAUGUGUCUCCCCACAAUGGAGAAAAAGAAUAACUUCAAAGAAAAGAAACCCCAAUCUUAACCAGGCAAUCAAAGUUGAGAUCACCAAUAUGGAGACACCACAACAUCAGAUUUCUCCUGAUGUGCUGUGCUGCUUCUGUGGGGUUCAUGCCAAAAAUAUGUUACCUGAGUGUCUUCAGAAGGAAACAUCAGAUAAGCCUCCAAAUGCAUGCAUCCCACACAAUAGCAGGAAGGGUACCCAUCAAGGUCAUGAAAGACCAGAAAAACUGAGGACCAGCUGAGAUUGGAAGAUAGUAAAGUGAUAUGAAAACUUUAUCUUGGAACAGGAAAAGGACAACUAAUGAUACAACCAGAGACAUUUGAGAAGGUCUAUACACAGCUAAUAGCAUCAUAUUAAGGUUAGCUUCCUAUAAUGUGGUGAUAUAAGGUGUUAGCCUUUGAAAGAUACAAUGUCUUACAUAUUUUUUGUAACUUUUUUCUAAGUUCUAAAUUUUUUCAAAGUGAAGAGUUGAAAACAUUUUAGUUAAUUAAUUGAUUAAUUUUGAAAGGAAGAAAAGGGUACGUAAUGCCCUCACCAACAUACUCUCCAGGAAUCAGUUUUAUUCUAGCACAUAGUUCUUAAUAGUUUCUCAUAUAUCCUUCCAUAGAUUUUUCUACACAAAUAAAUACAAGUAUAUUCAUCAUAUAUGUUUAGGCAUAUACGUACUAGAGAGCCUCCAAUGAAAGUAUACAUUGUUAUUUUAAUGACUACAUUAUAUUAUAUAGAUAACCUGUGUCACCUGUUUUAAUUUCAUCAGUAAUUGACAUGAUAUUUCUAAUAUUUUGCUAUUAUGAACAAUAUUGUCAUGAAUGCUUCAUUUCCUAUAUAUACUUGUAUUUACAGUAAAAAUGCUUGGAAUUAAAAUUUCUGGUUUAAAAUGUAUAAAGAUUUUUAUUUUUAUUGACAAACUUACCUGUAGAGAAAGAAAUGCCUAUUCUUCACAUUCUCAUCAACACAGUAUAUGAAAUUGUCUUGGCCA